AUGAACGCUAGCUACAGGCUUAACACAUGCAAGUCGAGGGGCAGCAUGGUCUUAGCUUGCUAAGACUGAUGGCGACCGGCGCACGGGUGAGUAACACGUAUCCAACCUGCCGUCUACUCUUGGACAGCCUUCUGAAAGGAAGAUUAAUACAAGAUGGCAUCAUGAGUCCGCAUGUUCACAUGAUUAAAGGUAUUCCGGUAGACGAUGGGGAUGCGUUCCAUUAGAUAGUAGGCGGGGUAACGGCCCACCUAGUCUUCGAUGGAUAGGGGUUCUGAGAGGAAGGUCCCCCACAUUGGAACUGAGACACGGUCCAAACUCCUACGGGAGGCAGCAGUGAGGAAUAUUGGUCAAUGGGCGAGAGCCUGAACCAGCCAAGUAGCGUGAAGGAUGACUGCCCUAUGGGUUGUAAACUUCUUUUAUAAAGGAAUAAAGUCGGGUAUGGAUACCCGUUUGCAUGUACUUUAUGAAUAAGGAUCGGCUAACUCCGUGCCAGCAGCCGCGGUAAUACGGAGGAUCCGAGCGUUAUCCGGAUUUAUUGGGUUUAAAGGGAGCGUAGAUGGAUGUUUAAGUCAGUUGUGAAAGUUUGCGGCUCAACCGUAAAAUUGCAGUUGAUACUGGAUAUCUUGAGUGCAGUUGAGGCAGGCGGAAUUCGUGGUGUAGCGGUGAAAUGCUUAGAUAUCACGAAGAACUCCGAUUGCGAAGGCAGCCUGCUAAGCUGCAACUGACAUUGAGGCUCGAAAGUGUGGGUAUCAAACAGGAUUAGAUACCCUGGUAGUCCACACGGUAAACGAUGAAUACUCGCUGUUUGCGAUAUACUGCAAGCGGCCAAGCGAAAGCGUUAAGUAUUCCACCUGGGGAGUACGCCGGCAACGGUGAAACUCAAAGGAAUUGACGGGGGCCCGCACAAGCGGAGGAACAUGUGGUUUAAUUCGAUGAUACGCGAGGAACCUUACCCGGGCUUAAAUUGCAGAUGAAUUACGGUGAAAGCCGUAAGCCGCAAGGCAUCUGUGAAGGUGCUGCAUGGUUGUCGUCAGCUCGUGCCGUGAGGUGUCGGCUUAAGUGCCAUAACGAGCGCAACCCUUGCUGCCAGUUACUAACAGGUCAUGCUGAGGACUCUGGCAGGACUGCCAUCGUAAGAUGCGAGGAAGGUGGGGAUGACGUCAAAUCAGCACGGCCCUUACGUCCGGGGCUACACACGUGUUACAAUGGGGGGUACAGAGGGCCGCUACCACGCGAGUGGAUGCCAAUCCCCAAAACCUCUCUCAGUUCGGACUGGAGUCUGCAACCCGACUCCACGAAGCUGGAUUCGCUAGUAAUCGCGCAUCAGCCACGGCGCGGUGAAUACGUUCCCGGGCCUUGUACACACCGCCCGUCAAGCCAUGGGAGCCGGGGGUACCUGAAGUGCGUAACCGCGAGGAGCGCCCUAGGGUAAAACUGGUGACUGGGGCU
rnacentral:rRNA from 1 species